rnacentral:rRNA from 1 species
GAUGAACGCUGGCGGCGUGCCUAACACAUGCAAGUCGAACGGAGUCCAGCCUUUAAGACCUUCGGGUCAAAGAGGGGAAGACUGAGUGGCGGACGGGUGAGUAACACGUGGGCAACCUGGCUCAUAGAGGGGGAUAACAGAGAGAAAUUUCUGCUAAUACCGCAUAAGCACACACUGCCGCAUGGCAGAGGGUGAAAUGAGAAUCGCUAUGAGAUGGACCCGCGUCUGAUUAGCCAGUUGGCAGGGUAAGAGCCUACCAAAGCGACGAUCAGUAGCCGAUCUGAGAGGAUGAACGGCCACAUUGGGACUGAGACACGGCCCAAACUCCUACGGGAGGCAGCAGUGGGGGAUAUUGCACAAUGGGGGGAACCCUGAUGCAGCGACGCCGCGUGAGUGAAGAAGUAUUUCGGUAUGUAAAGCUCUAUCAGCAGGGAAGAUAAUGACAGUACCUGAAUAAGAAGCCCCGGCUAACUACGUG